UACAGAGGGGGCAAGCGUUGUUCGGAAUUACUGGGCGUAAAGGGCGCGUAGGCGGCCCUCUAAGUCGAACGUGAAAUCCCUGGGCUCAACCCAGGAACUGCGUCCGAGACUGGAGGGCUAGAAUCCGGGAGAGGGAUGUGGAAUUCCAGGUGUAGCGGUGAAAUGCGUAGAUAUCUGGAGGAACAUCGGUGGCGAAGGCGGCAUCCUGGACCGGUAUUGACGCUGAGGCGCGAAAGCCAGGGGAGCAAACGGG
rnacentral:rRNA from 3 species